rnacentral:rRNA from 1 species
AACGGAGGAAGGUGGGGAUGACGUCAAGUCCUCAUGGCCCUUAUAGGUGGGGCUACACACGUCAUACAAUGGCUGGUACAAAGGGUUGCCAACCCGCGAGGGGGAGCUAAUCCCAUAAAGCCAGUCGUAGUCCGGAUCGUAGUCUGCAACUCGACUACGUGAAGUCGGAAUCGCUAGUAAUCGUGGAUCAGAAUGUCACGGUGAAUACGUUCCCGGGUCUU